UGUUGGCCCGGUUCACUCAGA
rnacentral:miRNA from 1 species